rnacentral:misc_RNA from 1 species
AAGGCGUAACAAGGUUUCCGUAGGUGAACCUGCGGAAGGAUCAUUAACACGUAUCCAAACGUAAAAAACCCCCCCCGUGAACAUUCAAUCCUGCUCUUGUAACCCGCGUAGUUCGCAAUCUCUGGUAAAUCAUAGCCCGGAAAGUAGUUUUGAUUCAGAGACUUCUGUCUACGUGAGAACAUUGGAACAGUUAAGGCAUUGUUUCCCCAAGCAGUCAGUGUCUGAAAGUGUCACUGAUUGUGCAAGGAUAGCGCUUCAACGAUUCCUGUAGACCGUACACUCGGGCAGGAGCUCCUGAGAACCCCACAGUUUAAUGUGAAGCUCAAUGUAAUACAUUGGGUAAAAAAACCGAACAACUGUUAACAAUGGAUAUCUUGGUUCUC